AGUAUUUGUGUGCUGUUGAACUAUCAACCAAAGAUUUAAAGAUAGGUUCAAAAAUAAGUCUUCUUCUGCAGCCCAGAACUCAUUGUUCAGAAUGAGUUUUGAUACAUAUGAGAAGAAUUGCU